rnacentral:lncRNA from 13 species
ACAUAAAGCCUGUGUAAUGAUUUGUUAUCUUUAUUAUCAAAUCAUGCCUCACAAACAACAUGCUUUUGAUAUUAAUUUACAAGAAAACGUUGAUCUAAAAACAACACAUACUAUAUACUGUGAUUUAGUAGAGACUGCAGCACCCAUUCUAUGUGAGAAGUGUAUUCAGAGAAUGUUCAGAUAGUGUUUCACAGAGCACAUUACAAGGAACUCCACAGGUCUAAUUCAUAAAUGAGAUGGAGGUUUCUCUUGGGUAAGUGAAGUGAAAGAAUUGGGGCAAUUCAAAUGAUGGCAUAACCUUUCCUGACUAGGGCGUGCUCAGAAGAAUAAGUAUGCUGCUGAGUGAGAGUCCAGUAAUAUAACUGGCCUUAAUUCACCCUGUGAACCUUAACUCCAAAUACAGCAGCCUGUGAAAACCAAAGACAUUUCCAUCGGUCUGAAACUCACACACACAGUCUGUCUGUGGUGAACGCAUACACACACACUGUCUCUCUCUCACACACACACACACACACACANNNNNNNNNNGGGGGGGAUUAGUUUGAGAGCUGGAAGCUGUUUUCUGUUUUGGAGUCUUGUCUAAUUCGAUUAAACCUGGUCCCACCAAGGGCUCUAAUGCAAUUGAAUUUCCAGCACUUUUAUAUAAGAGACUUAAAUUGGGUUCCCCUUGACUGGAUCGCUAGCUGCUUGCUGUCACUCCUGUAGCAGUGUCCCCUCAGUGUUAAGCCCACCAGAUCUUCCCAGUACAGUCACUGGCACGUUUUUAAUACGCUAUGCUGUCAACCAUUAAACCUCCACAUAAAGGUCCCAUCAUGGCAUAACAUAUAUAUGCAUAAUAUACGCAUGUCACAUUAUAAGCUAUUACCAGUCAGUGUAUUCAUGCUACAUAUUUAUCCUCUGAAAUCAGGAAUAAAAAGGUUUUUCCUUCUAUACUGUAUUAUUUACAGGCAUCAGGAGUCAUUUGCCUGUUUAAAAUUCACAUGAAUAUUUACACUGAAACAGUCACAUGCAGAAGCUCAGCGAAGACAGAAGAACACUUGUUUGUUUGUGAGAGUGAUUUUAUAUUUGUGUAUCUCUGUGUGUUUUGUGUGUGUGCCAUUUAUUUUUAUGGNNNNNNNNNNUGUCCCUCCCUGUCCCUGUCCCUCCCUGUCCCUGUCACUCCGACUCCCACAAGCUCUGGGAUAUUAGCAUUGGUCAAUGAGUGGAGGCCAUUUGGCUCUCUGUUUGAAUCUGAUUACUUGGGAAGUGACUCGCUACAAGAUGGGGCACAGUCCUGUCAUCAGCAUUCAUCAUACCACUGCACUCACCCAGCCAGUGUGGCAAAUGAACAGGUUUCAGCUUUCCAAACUUUGGCAGGAGACAUGUCUCUAACAGAAGGGGCGUUCAAUCGGAGUACCCACUACCCCUGUCUCCCACUACCCUCCUCUCUCUCUGCUCACUUCCCCCUCCUCCUCCUCUACUCUCUCUCUGAUCACUUCCCCCUCCUCCUCCUCUACUCUCUCUCUGAUCACAGAUGGCAAAUGUGUCAGGAGGGAGAGGGUUGGUUACGAUCAAAGCCCCCAGCCAAUACCCCUCCCUAUCCAACCCAGGCCCACCACCCUCUCUUCCUCUCUGGACUAGUCCAUGGCUAGGCCGAGGGUAGGAUCAGGGAUGGAGCAGCAGGCACUAAGUGUGUCUUCCACAUGAAAGUGUCCCCCGGCCUCCACUGUCCUCCCCUCCUCAUAGCUAGACCAGCAGCCCAGCUCUCCUGCCCCCUCCCUUUUCCCUUUCUCUCUCUCUCCCUCCCUUUCUCUUUCUUUUUCAGCCUGUCCAUCAGUGGCCUUAUAAAUUAUUCAUUGCUCUUUCCCUGAUGCCUUGUCACCUUGCCUUCUUAUUCGCCACCUUGUCUCCUUCCUCUCAGUUCCCCUCCUCUGUUCUCAGUGUAGUGGAACACCCCAGGAGCCCGCUUGUCCGGGACCACACAUCCUCUCAUCCUCACCCCCCUCUCCUCCACCUCCUCCUCCUCUUCUUCUUCCCUUUCUAGACUCCUGUCUCAGUCAAUGGUCAUUAAGUCAGAGAUGGGGGUCCUGGUGGGCUCCAUUUGUAGUCUGCUGUGUUUGUGGCUGGUAAUUAAUAGCAUGCCAUUUUAACUGGACAGUUCCUUCUAGGUUCAUGUUGUUUUCUACCAAGGGCUCUGGGAUUGGGAGGGUGGCAACGGCUUUUUGUUUGAUCUCCACAUUCCUUAUCAUAUUUUGACUUCCUGCUCAGUGGGGAGAUGUUGUGUAUGGAUCAGCUUUAAGAGGUGUGGCUUGUUUCUUUAAUAUUCUCCUCUCGGAUGCCUGUAAGGAGGGAGAGUUGAGUUGUCCUUUUUGAACUUCUCGGGUGUUGAAGAAGUCACUUGAUUUAAUGCAAAGCGCUCCAUAGAUGAAGGCAAAUCGAACUUCAUUGCCCUCUGGAGAGCCUUGUGGCUACCAGGCUGUGCAGCACUGUGCUCUCUGCAGGCAGGCAGGCAGGCACACAGGCAGGCACACAGACCUGCAGCAGGCUGGAAAAAUAGAGGGAGAAGUUGUUUCCCCACUAAUUUUACUGAGCAGAACCACAGACUUCCCGAACAUUCUCCUCCCCUCGCUCCUCACGUCUCCUCUUGUCCUCCCAAGGGGCAGCUCUCUGCAAGAGAACAUUGGAAAACACUGAAAGCAAAGCAAUCUGAGAGCUUUAAUCUAGUCACUAAUCCAUCUCUUCUCUCAACAAUUAAACACUGAAUUAGAAUCAGAAUUAGUUCAGAACUUCUAAACAUCAAAAUAUAAGUUUGCAUUGAAACCCAUUAAUCAUAUGAAUGCUUAAUGUUUCCCUCUGUAGAGUUUAGUGUAGUGAUAAUUGGAUAGUGGGCAUCAGAGAGCUGUGUCCUGGCUGAUGCAGUAGGGCCGGCGGUGGAGCACUUGGGCAGGACCCCUGGGACAUUGAUAUGCAUCACAUGGAGGUGUGUGUGUGUGUGUGUGCGUGUGCGUGUGUAACGGCAGCCUCUCCCACUGCUGCUGCUGCUCCUGCUGCUGCUGCCUCUGUUCCUUCUCCUGCUGCUUUUGCCGUUGCCCGUUACCACGCCGCUUGGUCCUGUUGUGGUGGGUGAUUCUGUAACAGCUUUCUUCGGUAGAAGGAGAGUCGGACCAAAAUGCGGCGUGGCUAUUGAGAUUCAUGUUUAAUAAAAACAACGUAAACAUGAAUCAAUACAAAACAAUAAACGUAAUGUGAAAACCGAAACAGCCUAAACUGGUGCAAACUAACACACAGAACAGUUACAAGGACACUAAGGACAAUCACCCACGAAACACCCAAAGAAUAUGGCUGCCUAAAUAUGGUUCCCAAUCAGAGACAAAGAUAAACACCUGCCUCUGAUUGAGAACCACUUCAGACAGCCAUAGACUUCACUAGAACACCCCACUAAGCUACAAUCCCAACACACCACAUACAAAAACCCAUGCCACACCCUGGCCUGACCAAAAUAAAUGAAGAUAAACACAAAAUACUUUGACCAGGGCGUGACAGCGUGUGCAUGUGUGUGUGUGUGUGUGAGAGAGACAGGUGGGACAACCCAUACUCUGGGAUGCAUACAGUAAGCAGGACUACUCGUUGUGUGUCCCUUCGAGCAUAUGUUUGUCCACCAAGCCCUCGCCGGCUCCACGACCUCAGAUGGGUCUGUCUGUGUUACUCACAGCAAUCUUGUCAGGCGACUAAAAAAAUGUCCCCUUCACUUUCGCAGCCAGCCACACAACUGCUAUUCUUUAUUCAGCUGAGGCCCUGCUCGGUUAGUGCAAAAUCAGCAGCGGCGCCCCGGCCCAUAAGAAGCAGAUCAAUCAGGGAGCUGGGUGAUGAAUUAGAGGUAUCAGCAGCAUGGAGGAUGCUAAAUUGAGCCGGCAGGAUGCCACUCUGCUGCUGGCUUGCUCUGGGGAGCAGGGAGCUGACACCAUACUGACACAGCCAGAGUUGUCCUUGUAUACCGCCCCAUCCCCUCCAUGCCGCUAGCCGCUUCCCUCCUCUGUACACACCCACAGAUUGUCUCUCGCUCACAAAAACAAAUACACAGAUUUAGACAUACACACAUAAAACACAGACACACAACACAAAUGUCUGAUGUCAAGUACAAAGUCCUUUCAAAAGAAGUUGGAAGAGGCCAGACUGAGCAUUUGUAGAAGUUUCUAUAAGGGUCUAACAAAACAGAAUGACAAUAACAGUAGUUCACCUAUUUAUUUGAUAGCAUCCUGUCACGACCGUCGGAAGAAGUGGACCAAAGCGCAGCGUGGUGAGCGUAUAUUUUCGUUUAUUUGAAUGAAUGUCGCCAACAAAACAAGAAACGACCGUGAAGCUUCCAAUGGCUAUAGUGCCACUAACAAAGAUAACUACCCACACUGAAAGGAGGGAAAAGGGGCUACCUAAGUCUGAUUCCCAAUCAGAGACAAUGAUAGACAGCUGUCAUUGAUUUAGAACCAUACCCGGCCAAAACAUAGAAAUAAAGAAACAUAGAAAACAAAACAUAGAAUGCCCACCCCACAUCACACCCUGAUCUAACCAAAUAGAGAAAUAAAACGUCUCUCUAAGGUCAGGGCGUGACAGUACCCCCCCAAAGGUGAGGGCUUCUUGCCAUGGAUCAUCACUGGAGGCUUUGUGCCAUGGAUCAUCACUGGAAGCUUCAUGCCAUGGAUCAUCACUGGAGGCUUCUUGCCAUGGAUCAUCACUGGAGGCUUCUUGCCAAGGAUCAUCACUGGGUUGGAGAGACACACAGGAGGCCUGGCUCUGGGAGAAGGCACAGGACUCACAAGGCUGGGAAGACAUACAGGAUGCCUGGCUUUGGGAGCGGGCACAGGAUACACUGGGCCGUGGAGGCGCACUGGAGGUCUGAGAGCGUAGAGCCUGCACAACCCGUCCUGGCUGGAUGGUUACUUUGGCCCGCAGGCACAGGAUACACUGGGCCGUGGAGGUGCACUGGAGGUCUGAGAGCGUAGAGCCUGCACAACCCGUCCUGGCUGGAUGGUUACUUUGGCCCGCAGGCACAGGACGCACCGGAGACACAGUGCGCAGAGCCGGCGCAGGAUAUCCUGGGCCGUAGAGACGUACUGGCGGCCAGAUGCGCUGAGCCGGCACCCUCCGACCUGGCUGGAUGCCUACUCUAGCCUGGCCGAUUCGGGGAGCUGGAAGGUAGCGCACCGGGCUGUGAACGUUGCACUGGAGACACUGUGCGCUCCACCGCAUAACACGGUGCCUGACCAGUACGACGCUUGCUACGGUAAGCACAGGGAGUUGGCUCAGGUCUCCAACCUGACUCAGCCAAACUCCCCAUGUGCCCCCCCAAAAAAUGUUUUGGGGGCUGCCUCUCGGGCUUCCUUGCUAGCCGUGUUCCCUCGUAACAAUGGGCCCCUUUACCUGCUGCCUCCACCUUCCUGGCUGAUUCCACCUGCUCCCACGGAAGGCCAUCCCUUCCGGCCAGGAUCUCCUCCCAUGUCCAGGAUCCUUUGCCGUCCAGGAUGUCAUCCCAUGUCCAGUCCUUCUUUUUACCACCCUGCUUGGUCUUUUUGUGGUGGGUAGUUCUGUCACAACCGUCGGAAGAAGUGGACCAAAGCGCAGCGUGGUGAGCGUAUAUUUUCGUUUAUUUGAAUGAAUGUCACCAACAAAACAAGAAACGACCAUGAAGCUUCCAAGGGCUAUAGUGCCACUAACAAAGAUAACUACCCACACUGAAAGGAGGGAAAAAGGGCUACCUAAGUAUGAUUCCCAAUCAGAGACAACGAUAGACAGCUGUCCCUGAUUGAGAACCAUACCCGGCCAAAACAUAGAAAUAAAGAAACAUAGAAAACAAAACAUAGAAUGCCCACCCCACAUCACACCCUGACCUAACCAAAUAGAGAAAUAAAACAGCUCUCUAAGGUCAGGGCGGGACACAUCCACAGGGGAGGCACGUUAUAUGGGGCAUUCCUUUCAUAGAAUAUAUUUUGUGAUAGUCUAUCUUCAGUUAUGAGUUAAUGACAAACAGUAUAGGACCUUGGAGACAUAAAAUAAGGAAUAAAUAAUAUUUAAAUUCUAUUUAUUAUAAGUGACAAGAGGAUUCAAAUCCGUAUGAAUUAAAAAGAGAUAUAAUAAUGUAAGGUUGAAUAGGAGUCUUUGUAUCACUGAGGGGAAGUUGUUUCAUAAAAUGUUAAACAGGUUGAACUGUGAGGAAUGUGGUGUCUUGGCUCUAAAGGCCCUAAGGUUAGCAGGGGGCCUGUGGCUCUAUCUGUCCCAAGGCACCUCGUAUUGCAGUUACCGGUUCCACAACAAGACCUGUAGGCUAUAGGCUGGAUGUAGCAGAGAAACUGGGCUCCACAUACAUACCAGAUUAAAUCCCUCUCUCUCUCGCUCUCUCUCUCUCUCCCCCCUCUCUCUCUCUCUCUCUCUCUCCCCCUCUCUCUCUCUCUUCCUCUCUCUCCUAACCUCUCUCUCUCUCUCUCCCUCUC